AUGAACGCUAGCGGCAGGCUUAACACAUGCAAGUCGAGGGGCAGCAUGAAGGUUAGCAAUAACUUUUUGAUGGCGACCGGCGCAAGGGUGCGUAACGCGUGAGCAACUUGCCCGUUUCUGGGGAAUAACCGGUGGAAACGCCGACUAAUACCCCAUAGUAUCAGAUUGAGGCAUCUUGAUCUGAUUAAAGAAUUUAUUGGUAAUGGAUGGGGAUGCGUGACAUUAGGUAGUAGGUGAGGUAACGGCUCACCUAGCCGACGAUGUCUAGGGGUUCUGAGAGGAAGGUCCCCCACACUGGUACUGAGAUACGGACCAGACUCCUACGGGAGGCAGCAGUGAGGAAUAUUGGUCAAUGGUCGGAAGACUGAACCGGCCAUGCCGCGUGCAGGAAGAAUGUCUUAUGGAUUGUAAACUGCUUUUGUAUGGGGCUAAUAAUAACUUUGCGAAGUUAGAUGCAGGUACCAUACGAAUAAGGAUCGGCUAACUCCGUG
rnacentral:rRNA from 1 species